rnacentral:rRNA from 1 species
GAUGAACGCUGGCGGUAUGCCUAACACAUGCAAGUCGUACGAGAGUUUUUUAACUCUAGUGGCGGACGGGUGAGUAACACGUGAGAAUUUGCCUUUAGGAGGGGGAUAACAAUUGGAAACGAAUGCUAAUACCCCAUAUGCUUUUGAGUGAAAUGGAUUUUAUCCGCCUAGAGAGAAGCUCGCGGCUGAUUAGCUUGUUGGUAAGGUAAGAGCUUACCAAGGCGACGAUCAGUAUCUGGUUUGAGAGGACGAUCAGACACACUGGAACUGAGACACGGUCCAGACUCCUACGGGAGGCAGCAGUGGGGAAUUUUCCGCAAUGGGCGAAAGCCUGACGGAGCAAUACCGCGUGAGGGAAGAAUGCCUAUGGGUUGUAAACCUCCUUUUUCAGGGAGGAAUAAAAUGACGUGUACCUGAAGAAUAAGCAUCGGCUAACUCCGUG